UUACCCAAAUGGUACAAACUUCCAGUGCAGAUGUGAGGAACAGUAUGUGUGGUCAUUAAGCAACUGUAAUACAUAUGGAGCCUGUGAUGACAUCAUUGACAACACGUGUGGGUGUAUCAACAGUAUUCCUACCAAUGGACAAUACUGCGUGCCACAGACAGUACCUUUAGUAUUUUAUGAAUACCAGAUUAUUACCGAGGUGAAUACCAGCGAUGCGGAUCAGCUGAGAAACGUCCUGAACAGUUUAACUUUUCCUGUCCAGAUCAGCUCCUCAGUUAACAUAUUAGAUGCCAAUAUCACCACAGUUUGCAGCCAAGAUAACACUGGGUUUCAGUGCCACUGUGAAAAGGACUAUCUUUGGCCGUGUGAUAAGUGUGACACCUAUGGGAAAUGUUAUGCUAAUACAAGCAACACAUGUGGAUGCAUCAAUGCCAUUCCUCCUGAUGGACAAUACUGCCAGCCUGCUGAUC